rnacentral:rRNA from 1 species
AUAUCAAUAAGCGGAGGAAAAGAAACUAACAAGGAUUCCCUUAGUAACGGCGAGUGAACCGGGAAGAGCUCAAAUUUGAAAUCUGGCUGUCUUCGAUAGUCCGAGUUGUAAUCUAUAGAAGCGUUUUCCGUGCUGAACUGUGUAUAAGUGUCUUGGAACAGACUAUCAAAGAGGGUGACAAUCCCGUACUUUACACAAUCAUCAGUGCUCUGUGAUACGUUCUCUACGAGUCGAGUUGUUUGGGAAUGCAGCUCAAAAUGGGUGGUAAAUUCCAUCUAAAGCUAAAUAUUGGCGAGAGACCGAUAGCGAACAAGUACCGUGAGGGAAAGAUGAAAAGCACUUUGGAAAGAGAGUUAAACAGUACGUGAAAUUGUUAAAAGGGAAACGAUUGAAGUCAGUCGUGUUUAUUGGAUUCAGCCGGUCUUCGGUGUACUUCCUUUAAACGGGUCAACAUCAGUUUUGUCCGGUGGAUAAAGGCAGUAGGAAUGUGGCUCCCUCGGGAGUGUUAUAGCCUAUUGUCACAUACACUGGAGGAGACUGAGGACUGCAGCUCGCCUUUUUGGCCGGGGUUCGCCCACGUUCGAGCUUAGGAUGUUGACAUAA